GAGACCCACGCCCACAGUUGCCAGCGUACUCUCCGGAGUGACGGGUACACUGUGGGGACCGCCGCUGCUAAAGCGGAGGAAGGAAUGGGCAACGGUAGGUCAGUAUGCCCCGAAUAUCCCGGGCUACACGCGAGCUACAAUGGUUGGUACAAUGGGUAUCUACCCCGAAAGGGGAUGGAAAUCUCCUAAAACCAAUCUUAGUUCGGAUUGAGGGCUGCAACUCGCCCUCAUGAAGCUGGAAUCCGUAGUAAUCGCGUUUCAACAGAACGCGGUGAAUAC
rnacentral:rRNA from 2 species